UGAUCAUAUAUUGUAUUAAGUAUUACUACUAUUAUAUUGUCUAUAAUACUUUUAUGAUCAUAUAUUGAAAGGUUUGCUAUUAAGUUCAGCCUAAAUUACUUGCAUGAUUGAGCGAGAAUUGUUAAUUGUCGUCGCAUUCGAUUGAAAAAGUUAAAAAAAUAGAGAAACUUUCAGAAAUCGAUGAAUGAUUUUACUAUUUUUUACUCAGGUGAAGGUAACACCAAAGAGAAAGCAAAGUGUCAAACAAAAACCAUGUUUAAAAGUUAAUGGUAGAUAUGAGUACAAGAAGAUCAAAAGCUCGGAAAAUGUAAAAACUAUUGCAGUGUCACUCAGUCAGUCCAGAUUUUUAAAAUAGAAUAAAGUUUUCAUUCAAAAAUAAAACAAAUAAUAUAAAAAAAUAAAAAAGUUUGAGGAUUAAAACAUUAGUUCAAACUUACUUAAAACUGUCCAUUUAUAUCUAAAUAAAAUAAGAAUAUAUUAUGGAAAAAAAACUCCAUGUUUGAAACUUCUCAUUCAAGUAGCUCACCUGUUACAAAUAUUUUUGAUGUAAUUUCUGCUGAAGAUCCUCCAUGCUCUAAUGUGCAGACAUAUUGUGAUGCAGUAGAAAACGUGGUUGAUUAUAAUAAAAAUAAAAAAAAUUUGGAUUUUAGUUUAAAUAAUUCUGACUUUCAGGAGAAUAUAGAUAAAUUAGCUAGCUUUUAAGAUUCUGGUGGUAAGUCUUGAGAAAACUGUGAAUUUAAGUACAGUUUACGAAAAUGGGCUUUAGAGUUUUAGAUAACAACAAAAGCAUUUUCAUCACUUUUAGCAUUAUUGACAAAUUAAUUUUUUUAUUUACAAUUACCAAAAGAUCCUAGAACUCUUCUUCAGAAAAAAUCUAUUAUUCUGAUUAACAUUAUUGCAGGAGGAGAAUAUUGGCGUAAUGGCUUUCAGCAGCGGAUAUUGAUAGUUUAGCUAGUUUAAAUUUAAAACGCAUUGAUCCUUGUCAGUCUGAAUUAAUGUUGAUUGACUGCAAUUGCUUAAAAGUACAAAUUGUCAAUUUUACGUUCAAUUGAACAGUUUAAAAAGAAAAAAUAGUAUAACAAACAUCCAUUUUUAUUAGGACUUUUUUAUGGUAAUACCAUACCCAGAUAUGCCUCUGAGUAUCUAAAAUAUUUGUCGAAGAUGUCAAUACCCUUAUUAGUGAAGGUAUUAAUAUUUGUGGAAAAGUAUACAGAUUUAAAAUAUCUUCAUUUAUUUGUGAUACACCCACGUGAUGAUACACCCACGUGAUGAUACACCCACGUGAUGAUACACCCACGUGAUGAUACACCCACGUGAUGAUACACCCACAGCAGUUUCAAAUUGACUUAUUGGAACUUUAUUCUGAGCAUACUCAGCUUACCACUUGUAAAACAUGAGAAAAAUUAGGAUUUUUAUUUAUUA